rnacentral:rRNA from 1 species
AUUGAACGCUGGCGGCAUGCUUUACACAUGCAAGUCGAACGGUAACAGGGAGAUUGCUCCGCUGACGAGUGGCGAACGGGUGGGUAAGGCGUCGGAAGGUGACGAGUAGUGGGGGAUAACGUAUCGAAAGGUGUGCUAAUACAGCAUACGAUCUGAGUUAGUAAGUGGGGGACCUUCGUGCAUAACGCUAUUCGAGCGACCGACGUCUGAUUAGCUGGUUGGUGAGGUAAAGGCUCACCAAGGAGACGAUCAGUAGCGGGUCUGAGAGGAUGAUCCGCCACACUGGGACGGAGACACGGCCAAAACUCCUACGGGAGGCAGAAGUGGGGAAUUUUGGACAAUGGGCGCAAGCCUGAUCCAGCAAUGCCGCGUGUCUGAAGAAGGCCUUCGGGUUGUAAAGGACUUUUGUCCGGGAGCAAAUGCUGGUGGCUAACAUCCACCGGAGCUGAGAGUACCGGAAGAAUAAGCACCGGCUAACUACGUGCCAGCCGCCGCGGUAAUAC